rnacentral:misc_RNA from 1 species
GUGAAUCAUCGAAUUUUUGAACGCAAAUUGCACUCUCUUUUGAGAGUAUGCCUGUUUGAGGGUCAGUAAUAAUAAAAUCGGGGUGUUGCUUUCUUUGUGACGCACUGGAGAUUGGGCUACCUUUAACUUUCGGGUUUAGGAUGCGGAAACUUGAACUUUUGUGCUCACUUUUAGACGUACAUAAAUUUAUUUUAUCGUAUAUUCUGGUGCCAAUUAUCUAUUAGGUGCGUUCCUGUUAUAUGAUCUCGUGCCUAUACUU